UACGUAGGGGGCAAGCGUUGUCCGGAUUUAUUGGGCGUAAAGAGCGUGUAGGCGGCUUGGUAGGUCCGCUGUGAAAACUCGAGGCUCAACCUCGAGACGCCGGUGGAAACCAUCAGGCUAGAGUCCGGAAGAGGAGAGUGGAAUUCCUGGUGUAGCGGUGAAAUGCGCAGAUAUCAGGAAGAACACCCGUGGCUAAGGCGGCUCUCUAGUACGGUACUGACGCUGAGACGCGAAAGCGUGGGGAGCGAACAGG
rnacentral:rRNA from 1 species